GAUGAACGCUGGCGGCGUGCCUAAUACAUGCAAGUCGAGCGAACAGACGAGGAGCUUGCUCCUCUGACGUUAGCGGCGGACGGGUGAGUAACACGUGGAUAACCUACCUAUAAGACUGGGAUAACUUCGGGAAACCGGAGCUAAUACCGGAUAAUAUAUUGAACCGCAUGGUUCAAUAGUGAAAGACGGUUUUGCUGUCACUUAUAGAUGGAUCCGCGCCGCAUUAGCUAGUUGGUAAGGUAACGGCUUACCAAGGCAACGAUGGGUAGCCGACCUGAGAGGGUGAUCGACCACACUGGAACUGAGACACGGUCCAGACUCCUACGGGAGGCAGCAGUAGGGAAUCUUCCGCGAGGGGCGAAAGCCUGACGGAGCAACGUCGCGUGAGUGAUGAAGGUCUUCGGAUCGUAAAACUCUGUUAUUAGGGAAGAACAAAUGUGUAAGUAACUAUGCACGUCUUGACGGUACCUAAUCAGAAAGCCACGGCUAACUACGUG
rnacentral:rRNA from 1 species